rnacentral:piRNA from 1 species
UGGAUGAAGCUACUUACUCCUAAUGGCCAU